AUUGAACGCUGGCGGCAGGCUUAACACAUGCAAGUCGAGCGGGGUGAUGGUGCUUGCACUAUCACUUAGCGGCGGACGGGUGAGUAAUGCUUAGGAAUCUGCCUAUUAGUGGGGGACAACAUCUCGAAAGGGAUGCUAAUACCGCAUACGUCCUACGGGAGAAAGCAGGGGAUCACUUGUGACCUUGCGCUAAUAGAUGAGCCUAAGUCGGAUUAGCUAGUUGGUGGGGUAAAGGCCUACCAAGGCGACGAUCUGUAGCGGGUCUGAGGGGAUGAUCCGCCACACUGGGACUGAGACACGGCCCAGACUCCUACGGGAGGCAGCAGUGGGGAAUAUUGGACAAUGGGGGGAACCCUGAUCCAGCCAUGCCGCGUGUGUGAAGAAGGCCUUAUGGUUGUAAAGCACUUUAAGCGAGGAGGAGGCUCUUUUGGUUAAUACCCAAGAUGAGUGGUCGUUACUCGCAGAAUAAGCACCGGCUAACUCUGUGCCAGCCGCCGCCGUAA
rnacentral:rRNA from 1 species